GUGAACGCUGGCGGUAGGCCUAACCCAUGCAAGUCGCACGGCAGCACAGUAAGAGCUUGCUCUUACGGGUGGCGAGUGGCGGACGGGUGAGGAAUACAUCGGAAUCUACUUUUUCGUGGGGGAUAACGUAGGGAAACUUACGCUAAUACCGCAUACGACCUACGGGUGAAAGCAGGGGAUCUUCGGACCUUGCGCGAUUGAAUGAGCCGAUGUCGGAUUAGCUAGUUGGCGGGGUAAAGGCCCACCAAGGCGACGAUCCGUAGCUGGUCUGAGAGGAUGAUCAGCCACACUGGAACUGAGACACGGUCCAGACUCCUACGGGAGGCAGCAGUGGGGAAUAUUGGACAAUGGGCGAAAGCCUGAUCCAGCCAUACCGCGUGGGUGAAGAAGGCCUUCGGGUUGUAAAGCCCUUUUGUUGGGAAAGAAAAGCAGCAGGUUAAUACCCCGCUGUUCUGACGGUACCCAAAGAAUAAGCACCGGCUAACUUCGUG
rnacentral:rRNA from 1 species